rnacentral:tRNA from 1 species
GGUGAGGUGGCUGAGUGGCCGAAAGCGGCGGUUUGCUAAACCGUUGUAGGGGCUAAAACCUCUACCGAGGGUUCGAAUCCCUCCCUCACCGCCA